UGGGGAAUAUUGCACAAUGGGCGAAAGCCUGAUGCAGCAACGCCGCGUGAGUGAUGAAGGCCUUCGGGUUGUAAAGCUCUGUCUUCUGGGACGAUAAUGACGGUACCAGAGGAGGAGGCCACGGCUAACUACGUGCCAGCAGCCGCGGUAAUACGUAGGUGGCAAGCGUUGUCCGGAUUUACUGGGCGUAAAGGAUGCGUAGGCGGAUACUUAAGUCAGAUGUGAAAAUCCCGGGCUUAACUUGGGAACUGCAUUUGAAACUGGGGAUCUAGAGUGCGGGAGAGGAAAGUGGAAUUCCUAGUGUAGCGGUGAAAUGCGUAGAGAUUAGGAAGAACACCAGUGGCGAAGGCGACUUUCUGGACCGUAACUGACGCUGAGGCAUGAAAGCGUGGGGAGCAAACA
rnacentral:rRNA from 1 species